GGCCAGACUCCUACGGGAGGCAGCAGUGGGGAAUAUUGCACAAUGGGGGGAACCCUGAUGCAGCGACGCCGCGUGAAGGAAGAAGUAUCUCGGUAUGUAAACUUCUAUCAGCAGGGAAGAAAGGGGACGGUACCUGACUAAGAAGCCCCGGCUAACUACGUGCCAGCAGCCGCGGUAAUACGUAGGGGGCAAGCGUUAUCCGGAUUUACUGGGUGUAAAGGGAGCGUAGACGGCAGUGCAAGUCUGGAGUGAAAUCCCAUGGCUUAACCAUGGAACUGCUUUGGAAACUGUGCAGCUGGAGUGCAGGAGAGGUAAGCGGAAUUCCUAGUGUAGCGGUGAAAUGCGUAGAUAUUAGGAGGAACACCAGUGGCGAAGGCGGCUUACUGGACAGUAACUGACGUUGAGGCUCGAAAGCGUGGGGAGCAAACAGGAUUAGAUACCCUUGUA
rnacentral:rRNA from 1 species